GGCCUCAGGUGAGCCCGGGCACCCCCCCUGCGCCCCCUCCUCCUCCCCGAGCCCCUCGGGGCCAGCAGCAGCUGGCGGCCGCCCCCUUCCCCCGGGGCUCUCCGGCGGCGGGCCCUGCUCCGCUCCUCCCGCUCCUGCACCCAGCGACCUGCCCCUGCCGUCGGCUCCUUGGCCGGCAGGCCAGGCCGGGGGGGGGGUGGGGGGGUAUUAACCUAGAGUAGCGGUACCUCGCCACAGGCCAGCCAGCACGGGUGCUGCUCCGAGUCGGAUGUGGCUGCAGUGUUAAGCUGGCUAAAAAAUCAUUUUCAACUCUGUAGCGCUGCGGCUUUCCCUGUCGAGCCUUCCCCUUCAAGCUCAGCCAGCAGGACUAGUGUGUCGUUUUCUCGUGUGCCAGUCUGCGAAGAUGGCCAGAUCGGAGCCGGACACCUUCCCCUGGUGAGGCAGGUCACUCCUGUCGUGCACCUCUGCGGCGUGCUCAUCCCUUGUGCUCAGCAGUUCGGGAAGCGAGUGUGGGACUCGGUGCUUUGUUUGCUUUAGCCACAAUUAAACAGUUAAGCUGGACAUUUUGGGCCAGUUGGACAACUGUGCGUGCACACACACAGAGAAAUUAAACAUCUGACAGUAGCUUAAAGCUAUAGAGUAUUUUGCAUGCAGGUGAAUUCUGUUAAAUAAUGGCUUGGGAAUGGCUUUUCUUAUUUCCCUAUUGAAGAUAAGGGGAGCAUUUUUUAAAACAACCUCCUCCUCCCCACCAUCACCACCAAAAAACCCCCCUCGCAUGAUGAAAGACCUAUAAAGUUGAAUAGUUGGGAGAUAAUAACUCUUAACGGUAAAGGUCCCAGCAUACGUAUACCACACUGCCUCUGGCAGUAAUCCUGGCUUUGGGGAUCUGAAAUUUCCUAAAGAUGUAUUAGUGUCUUAUACACAUGUGCUCUUGUGCACUCAUAAUCCUUUUUCACUAGCUUCUUAGCUGCAUGCUUUGUAUUUAAAUUUUCCUUCUGACCAAGUAAAUCCCUUUGGAUGAAGUGACAGGAGCUUUUCAGCACCCAUAGCUGGGUGACAGCUGGUGUAGAGGCUCUGAAAGACUGCAAAGUGUUCCUUACUAGCUUUCUUCAGGACCAGUGUCAGCCACCAGCUGAGCGAUUUGUUAGCUCCCCUUUGGGCAUCAGUCAGCUGAAGAGGCUCACAUUAAAGGCUAAAGUAAUACAAUGGAUAUUAAUAAAUAAAAUUAAAAUAAUAAAAAUAAUAAUAAAAGAAAUGCCAAUAUCUCUGUUCCUGGUUUUACUGUGCUUUUAAUUAGGUGCUUAUUCAUUAUAUGUGAACACAGUGUAUUUUCAUUAAUUUGGGAAAGCCUUUAUUAAUACUGUAUAAAGUAUAUAUACCAGCCUCAGAUUCACACUGUUAAAACUUUGGCUUGAAAGAAGUAAUUGUCAGAAGCCUUUCUAGGAGCAGCACAGCGCGUAAAGUAGUUUACUUACAGAUCACAGAACAAGAUGUUUGUAUUUAUUUUCCCUCAAGUAAAGUUUCCCUGUAAAUGUCCAAUGUGUAAUAUAUUCUGUUAUUUAAUUCCAGAUUUGAAGGUUUGCUUCUCAGGGGUUCUGGCAAGUUUUUGCUAUUGGAAUUAGUAAUGAGGAGCACUGGAACUGUGGAAGUAAAUCGUGCAAUGUAAUCAGGUUGUUAAAGGAAAAGCAAUUCAAAAGUGGGACUGUUUUAGAACCAAGCUAAGGCAGUGGAUCUAACACCAAAGAUGCUUCCUGCACAGGUUUUUUUGUUUGUUUGUUUUGUUUUGAGGGGGUGCAUGCACAAAUGCAGGGGAGAAAUUCUUCACUCUGUCUCAAAUAAGUAGAGCAAAUAUUAAUUUAAAAUAAGUCAUUUUUAAAACACGGUAGCUUCUACGAUAAAAUUUUUAAUUAUUUAUUGAUCUCUAAGGAGAUUAAAGUACUGAGCUAGGUAAAACUCCCAAAGCAUUCUAGGUGUUUUGCUUGAGUAAGGACUAUUGGCUUAGACCAAAGACUUAUGAGAAUUAGUUUAUAAAAAUAGUAAUUAAUAUUCAAUACUUUGUUAGUGCACCACCCACGUAUUUCAGUGAAAGCAUCUCAGCUUUUAAAUAAUAAUUCAGACCUGUAAUAAGCACAUGUGUAAGGUGUCUUAAUUGUAUUCUUUUAUCUCAGAUGUGUUGUCACAAUAAAAUUCUUGUUUAGAAAUUGGGAUAAAUGAAGACAUGAAAUUUCCCUCUUAAGUUAUUAUGUUUUAAUAAAGUAAGGAUAACAGA